AUCGUCAUCAUCAUCACCUCGUGCUGCGAGAUUCGUGCCACGAGGUGCAACGGCUUCAACGCUCGCGUCUCUCGGUCCCUCAACCGCCAGUCCCUACCAGGUUCGAGCUUCUCAUCUGCCUGACUCCUCCUCGAAGUAGACAUGGCUGACCCAUACGGUUAUUACGGCCAGCAGCCGGAGGCCCAAUACCAGGGGUACCAGCAUCAAGAUCCCCAGAAUCAAUACGCGUACGGCUGGUUUCAGCCGGCCGACCCUUAUAACUACCCCCCCAACGAAGAGGCACCCAUUAUUGGAGGCCACACAGAAGGUUCCCGCGUGUCCACUGCACGUAAGUUGACGCGCCAAUCUGCUUUAGCCUAUAUGUGGG